rnacentral:rRNA from 1 species
AUUGAACGCUGGCGGAAUGCUUUACACAUGCAAGUCGAACGGUAGAGGGGGGCAACCCCCUUGAGAGUGGCGAACGGGUGAGUAAUAUAUCGGAACGUGCCCAGUCGUGGGGAUAACGUAGCGAAAGUUACGCUAAUACCGCAUACGAUCUAAGGAUGAAAGCGGGGGAUCGCAAGACCUCGCGCGAUUGGAGCGGCCGAUAUCAGAUUAGGUAGUUGGUGAGGUAAAGGCUCACCAAGCCAACGAUCUGUAGCUGGUCUGAGAGGACGACCAGCCACACUGGAACUGAGACACGGUCCAGACUCCUACGGGAGGCAGCAGUGGGGAAUUUUGGACAAUGGACGCAAGUCUGAUCCAGCCAUUCCGCGUGCAGGAUGAAGGCCCUCGGGUUGUAAACUGCUUUUGUACGGAACGAAAAGGUUUGUCUUAAUACGAUGAGCUCAUGACGGUACCGUAAGAAUAAGCACCGGCUAACUACGUGCCAGCAGCCGCGGUAAA